AAACCAACAGGGAUUCCCUUAGUAACGGCGAGUGAACCGGGAAAAGCUCAAAUUUGAAAUCUGCCAACAGGCCGAGUUGUAAUUUGUAGAUGGCUACACUGCAUAAUAGUAGAUGCUCAAGUUCUUUGGAAAAAGACAUCAUGGAGGGUGACAAUCCCGUGAGGCAUGUUACUAGGAGCAUAUAGUGGGCUUUCUAAGAGUCGAGUUGUUUGGGAAUGCAGCUCAAAGUGCGUGGUGAAUACCAUGUAAAGCUAAAUAUGGACGAGAGACCGAUAGCGAACAAGUACUGUGAAGGAAAGAUGAAAAGCACUCCGAAAGGAGAGUGAAAUAGUACGUGAAAUUGUUAAAGUGGAAGGGCUUGAGAUCAGAAUUGGUAGUUUGGGUUCCACGUCCUCUUGGGGGCGUGUACUCCCUUUCCACCGGGCCAGCGGGAGUUUCGUCUCUUGGGUAAAAGCAGUGGAAUGUAGCAGCUUGUCUGUAUUAUAGCCUCUGUUCAUACAAGACGUCGAGACUUGAUUUGUUGGCGUAAUGAUCUCUAGGCAC
rnacentral:rRNA from 1 species